CCUACGGGAGACAGCAGUGAGGAAUAUUGGUCAAUGGACGAGAGUCUGAACCAGCCAAGUAGCGUUAAGGAUGACUGCCCUCUGGGUUGUAAACUUCUUUUAUAAAGGAAUAAAACGAGGCACGUGUGCCUUUUUGCAUGUACUUUAUGAAUAAGGAUCGGCUAACUCCGUGCCAGCAGCCGCGGUAAUACGGAGGAUCCGAGCGUUAUCCGGAUUUAUGGGGUUUAACGGGAGCGUAGAUGGGUUGUUAAGUCAGUUGUGAAAGUUUGCGGCUCAACCGUAAAAUUGCAAUUGAUACUGGCAGUCUUGAGUACAGUUGAGGUAGGCGGAAUUCGUGGUGUAGCGGUGAAAUGCUUAGAUAUCACGAAGAACCCCGAUUGCGAAGGCAGCUUACUAAACUGUGACUGACAUUGAUGCUCGAAAGUGUGGGUAUCAAACAGGAUUAGAUACCCGGGUAGUC
rnacentral:rRNA from 1 species